rnacentral:rRNA from 1 species
UAGCGGCGGACGGGUGAGUAACACGUGGGUAACCUACCUAUAAGACUGGAAUAACUUCGGGAAACCGGAGCUAAUGCCGGAUAACAUUUGGAACCGCAUGGUUCUAAAGUAAAAGAUGGUUUUGCUAUCACUUAUAGAUGGACCCGCGCCGUAUUAGCUAGUUGGUAAGGUAACGGCUUACCAAGGCAACGAUACGUAGCCGACCUGAGAGGGUGAUCGGCCACACUGGAACUGAGACACGGUCCAGACUCCUACGGGAGGCAGCAGUAGGGAAUCUUCCGCAAUGGACGAAAGUCUGACGGAGCAACGCCGCGUGAGUGAUGAAGGUUUUCGGAUCGUAAAACUCUGUUAUUAGGGAAGAACAAAUGUGUAAGUAACUGUGCACAUCUUGACGGUACCUAAUCAGAAAGCCACGGCUAACUACGUGCCAGCAGCCGCGGUAAUACGUAGGUGGCAAGCGUUAUCCGGAAUUAUUGGGCGUAAAGCGCGCGUAGGCGGUUUCUUAAGUCUGAUGUGAAAGCCCACGGCUCAACCGUGGAGGGUCAUUGGAAACUGGGAAACUUGAGUACAGAAGAGGAAAGUGGAAUUCCAUGUGUAGCGGUGAAAUGCGCAGAGAUAUG